AUCCAGCCGACAAGUCUCAAAUAGGACGAAACGCGUGUCCUGAAU
rnacentral:hammerhead_ribozyme from 1 species